rnacentral:sRNA from 1 species
CAUGUUCUAUUUGCUGGGGGCAGAUAAAAUGAAUAUGCGUGUCGAUACCGCCGGCAGUGGCAAUCAACGCCGCGCCGCCAUGCACUUCGGUGGAAGCGCCAAUGAUCAUAUUGGGCGAAACACCAUCCAUGGUAUCGGGGUUGCCUGCCUUGCCGAUGCCCACGAUGCGGCCAUCCCUGAUCCCUAUAUCGCCUUUUACAAUACCCCAAUGGUCGAUGAUGAUGACAUUGGUGAUCACAAAAUCGAGUACGCCAUCGCUGCGCAGGGCAGUAGCCGAUUGGGCCAUGCCAUCGCGGAUG